GUCGAGCGGCGGACGGGUGAGUAAUGCCUAGGAAAUUGCCCUGAUGUGGGGGAUAACCAUUGGAAACGAUGGCUAAUACCGCAUGAUGCCUACGGGCCAAAGAGGGGGACCUUCGGGCCUCUCGCGUCAGGAUAUGCCUAGGUGGGAUUAGCUAGUUGGUGAGGUAAGGGCUCACCAAGGCGACGAUCCCUAGCUGGUCUGAGAGGAUGAUCAGCCACACUGGAACUGAGACACGGUCCAGACUCCUACGGGAGGCAGCAGUGGGGAAUAUUGCACAAUGGGCGCAAGCCUGAUGCAGCCAUGCCGCGUGUGUGAAGAAGGCCUUCGGGUUGUAAAGCACUUUCAGUCGUGAGGAAGGUAGUGUAGUUAAUAGCUGCAUUAUUUGACGUUAGCGACAGAAGAAGCACCGGCUAACUCCGUGCCAGCAGCCGCGGUAAUACGGAGGGUGCGAGCGUUAAUCGGAAUUACUGGGCGUAAAGCGCAUGCAGGUGGUUUGUUAAGUCAGAUGUGAAAGCCCGGGGCUCAACCUCGGAAUAGCAUUUGAAACUGGCAGACUAGAGUACUGUAGAGGGGGGUAGAAUUUCAGGUGUAGCGGUGAAAUGCGUAGAGAUCUGAAGGAAUACCGGUGGCGAAGGCGGCCCCCUGGACAGAUACUGACACUCAGAUGCGAAAGCGUGGGGAGCAAACAGGAUUAGAUACCCUGGUAGUCCACGCCGUAAACGAUGUCUACUUGGAGGUUGUGGCCUUGAGCCGUGGCUUUCGGAGCUAACGCGUUAAGUAGACCGCCUGGGGAGUACGGUCGCAAGAUUAAAACUCAAAUGAAUUGACGGGGGCCCGCACAAGCGGUGGAGCAUGUGGUUUAAUUCGAUGCAACGCGAAGAACCUUACCUACUCUUGACAUCCAGAGAACUUUCCAGAGAUGGAUUGGUGCCUUCGGGAACUCUGAGACAGGUGCUGCAUGGCUGUCGUCAGCUCGUGUUGUGAAAUGUUGGGUUAAGUCCCGCAACGAGCGCAACCCUUAUCCUUGUUUGCCAGCGAGUAAUGUCGGGAACUCCAGGGAGACUGCCGGUGAUAAACCGGAGGAAGGUGGGGACGACGUCAAGUCAUCAUGGCCCUUACGAGUAGGGCUACACACGUGCUACAAUGGCGCAUACAGAGGGCGGCCAACUUGCGAAAGUGAGCGAAUCCCAAAAAGUGCGUCGUAGUCCGGAUUGGAGUCUGCAACUCGACUCCAUGAAGUCGGAAUCGCUAGUAAUCGUGGAUCAGAAUGCCACGGUGAAUACGUUCCCGGGCCUUGUACACACCGCCCGUCACACCAUGGGAGUGGGCUGC
rnacentral:rRNA from 4 species